AGGCAUGCAAGUCGAACGAGAAUCUGAUGGUUCAAGUUUUCGGACAAGAACCAUUGGAGGACAGUGGCGGAAGGGUGAGUACAACAUGGGUAAUCUAUCUUCAAGUUGGGUAUAGCUUUUCGAAAGGAAAGAUAAUACCGAAUGUGGUGAUCCGACGCCUGUCGGAGACUCUAAAGGUGGGGACCGUAAGGCCUGCCGCUUGAAGCCGAGCCCGUGCACUAUCAGCUUGUUGGUGGGGUAAUGGCCUACCAAGGCAAUGACGGUUAGCUGGUCUGAGAGGAUGGUCAGCCACACUGGGACUGAGAUACUGCCCAGACUCCUACGGGAGGCUGCAGUCGAGAAUCAUUCGCAAUGGGCGAAAGCCUGACGGUGCGACGUCGCGUGGAGGACGAAGGUCUUCGGAUCGUAAACUCCUGUCAUGAGGGAUAAAUAGCCCGGGAAGGAAUAUCUCCUGGGACUGAUAGUACCUCAGGAGGAAGAGACGGCUAACUCUGUGCCAGCAGCUGCGGUAAUACAGAGGUCUCGAGCGUUGUUCGGAUUUAUUGGGCGUAAAGGGAGCGUAGGCGGUUCGGUAUGUCGAAUGUGAAAGCCCACAAUUUAAUUGUGGAAAUGCAUUCGAAACUGCUGGGCUAGAGUACUGGAGAGGAGAGUGGAACUUCUGGU
rnacentral:rRNA from 1 species